rnacentral:rRNA from 1 species
UACGAAGGGGGCUAGCGUUGCUCGGAAUCACUGGGCGUAAAGCGCACGUAGGCGGCUUCUUAAGUCGGGGGUGAAAUCCUGGAGCUCAACUCCAGAACUGCCCUUGAUACUGAGAAGCUUGAGUCCGGGAGAGGUGAGUGGAACUGCGAGUGUAGAGGUGAAAUUCGUAGAUAUUCGCAAGAACACCAGUGGCGAAGGCGGCUCACUGGCCCGGUACUGACGCUGAGGUGCGAAAGCGUGGGGAGCAAACAGG